rnacentral:misc_RNA from 1 species
GUUGUCGGGCGUCUCUCGUGGCUGCGUUUAUGUGCGUCCGUGCGCCGGUUGUGUGUGUUUUGGGUCCGCGUUUUGAGGCUGGAAACGGCUGACUUUGCCCGUGUUUUGAUCCGUCGUCAACGUCCGCCGACCGAGCAGCGUCGUGUGACCGCCAUGUGGAUACCAAACGCCGCUCCCUAACUCCCGCAUCCGGAGAGCGAACCUCUGCAUGCCUUCACGGAGGGAAAUCAGCAAGUAAACGAGCAACAUCGCAGCCCCGCGUGUUCGAGCAGCGACGGACUCGUGGGCUCGUUGCCGCAAAAGUCCUGGCCCGCUGUCAGGCGCCAACCUGUACCCCGAGAUAGCCUCCUCGAUAUACCGGAUGUGCUGACGGCGUGAGACUACCUUCAUGAUGCAGUCGAGUCGAGCAAGCCACUGCUGCUAAAGCACGCAGCGAGAGAUCCCCAGCCGCAGGCAGCCUGCGCCUUUUCUUCGAUGCCUGAUCUAUGGCAGACACAAUGGCACGGUCGCUAGAAGACGAUAGCCCUCGGAAGAGGUCUGUCGAAGAGGAUGUUGGAAAGCCCGGUGAUCUGUUUGAGCUGCUCAACAAGCUUCAAAACAGCCGCUUGGAUGACCAGCGCUGUGAACUUCCCCUGGGCUCUGCGAAGAAGGCCACUGCUGCGGUCGUCAGUAAGGCUGAGAGGCAGACUCGGGACCAGGAAAAAUUGGAAGAGAUCUUGAAGAAGCAGGCCGCAUACCCCAUGGUCGUGCUCCCGGUGGCGGGAGGCUACUGGGUGGACGGCGUCGAGUGCUCUUCCCCGUCGGACGUCUUCGACAGCGUCUUUGUCCCGGGACAUUUCACGCCUACAAAGAUCAACAGCGAAGAGAUCGCCCUCACCUACCGGAGGCAUUUCUUGGGCAGGGAACACCUCAACUUCCUCGGUCGGGACGAUGCAUCAAAUCCGUUCGUCCUUUCGCUCAAACUGGAGUCCCUGGCUGAGAAGGACGAUCACUACAGGGUCAUCCUUAGAACAAAUGACGGGGUUGUGAGUGACGUAAUACCAAACGACCCUAAAGCAGACGUCUGGACUGCUGCUCGGUUGGUCAAGUCUCUUCGUGAUAGCGUCUCCAGCUUAUUUUUGCAACCAGUCUCAUUUCCAAAGGCAUCUGAUCUUCUGCUUGCCUUUGACGAACAAGUUCUAGUCCACGAGUACAAAUUUGGAGUCAUCUAUCAGCGAGCAGGGCAGACGAAAGAGGAAGAACUGUUUGGAAACCGCUAUCACAGCCAAGCCAUGGAAGAGUUCCUUCACAUGCUCGCUGAGAAAGUCACCCUGAAAGACUUCUUGGGUUUCAGGGGCGGCCUCGACACGCAGCAUGGACAGACGGGGCAAGAAUCAUUUUACACGACUUUCAAGGGCUGUGAGAUCAUGUUCCAUGUUUCCACCUUGCUCCCCUACACCGAAGGGGAUGUACAGCAGCUGCAGCGGAAGCGGCACAUUGGCAACGACAUUGUGGCCAUAGUGUUCCAGGAGGAGAACACGCCCUUCAUGCCCACCAUGAUCGCCUCUCACUUCCUCCACUCGUUCCUGGUGGUGCAGCCCGUGCGCCCCAAGCGCCUGCACUCGGGACGGCACAGGUACAGGGUUGCCGUCACAGCUCGUCUGGACGUUCCGUUCUUCGAGCCUAAGCUCCCGGUUCCCGCGGAGUUUGAUGCUGGUCCCGAGUUUCGGGACUUCAUCCUGAGGAAACUGAUCAAUGCAGAGAAUGCGUCCUACAGGGCAGAACAGUUUGCAAAGUUGGAGGCACGCACACGAUGCUCCCUGCUCCAAACGCUGCACGACCAGCUCCAAGCCAAGACGCAGGAGUUCUCCGGUGCGGUGAAUUUUGUGACAGACGACGGCCUGAUGGUCGGGCUCGACGCCGCCUGCGGGGUGGGGGAGCAGCAGAAUGGCUCGGCGUCUGCCACAACAACGGCAGCGGGGGCGAGUUUCUUGGAUGGCUUCUUUCGCAAGGCACUGAGCGUCAAGAUCCGUAGCCAAUCCGUUGAGUCUAACCUGGCCAAACGGUCCUCGUCGAGCGCCAGCAGUAGCAGCCUCACCAACACCGUCAUCGGGGAGAACACACCGCUGGCCACGGCAACACCCAAGGCACAGAGCACCCGAAAUGUCAGCCAAGGAUCUCCAUCGCAAGCAUCUACUCGCAGGCUGGACUUCCCGACGGUUACCUCGCUGCUGGGAAUGAGCCGUCGGCGCCCCAACAGCAGCCCCACCACGCCAGUGUCGAGCCCUGAGACCCCACCCCCGCUGUCCAAGGGCCAGCCACACCAGCAGCAGUCCGGCACCGCCGAGUCCGACACCUCUAGUCUCAAUAGCGUGGAGUCUGACCUGGGCCUCAGCGCCACCCCUGCGGCAGAGGUCCCUCCGUGCCGGACCUCCAGGACGCUGCUGCUGCCCUGCACCUCUGCCCCGGCCACGGCUGCCCUGGCACAGGCGGCGGCUCUUGCGGAGGGUGCUUAUCCGACACCUUCCCCACGGUGGUGCCGAUACUAUUCAAGGCUACCAGGACCAGAUCGAGACAAUGGCCCAGGAGCUGGCUCAUAUGAGGAGGGAGAGGUUUGACUGGCUCAAGGACAAAGCGGCACGUGGAGUCCCUUGGACCCUCUUUAUUCGCUUGAACUUGAUGCAGGCGGAGAUGCAGAAACUGACGGACAAGGAAGUUCGACUCACGACAGAACUGUCCCU